rnacentral:rRNA from 1 species
GAAUCUUCCGCAAUGGACGAAAGUCUGACGGAGCAACGCCGCGUGAGUGAUGAAGGCUUUCGGGUCGUAAAACCCUGUUGUUAGGGAAGAACAAGCGCUAGUUGAAUAAGCUGGCACCUUGACGGUACCUACCCAGAAAGCCACGGCUAACUACGUGCCAGCCGCCGCGGUAAUACGUAGGUGGCAAGCGUUAUCCGGAAUUAUUGGGCGUAAAGCGGGCGCAGGUGGUUUCUUAAGUCUGAUGUGAAAGCCCACGGCUCAACCGUGGAGGGUCAUUGGAAACUGGGAGACUUGAGUGCAGAAGAGGAAAGUGGAAUUCCAUGUGUAGCGGUGAAAUGCGUAGAGAUAUGGAGGAACACCAGUGGCGAAGGCGACUUUCUGGUCUGUAACUGACACUGAGGCGCGAAAGCGUGGGGAGCAAACAGG